GAUGAAGAACGCAGCGAAAUGCGAUAAGUAGUGUGAAUUGCAGAAUUCAGUGAAUCAUCGAAUCUUUGAACGCACAUUGCGCCCCUUGGUAUUCCAUGGGGCAUGCCUGUUCGAGCGUCAUUUGUACCUUCAAGCUCUGCUUGGUGUUGGGUGUUUGUCUCGCCUCUGCGUGUAGACUCGCCUCAAAACAAUUGGCAGCCGGCGUAUUGAUUUCGGAGCGCAGUACAUCUCGCGCUUUGCACUCAUAACGACGACGUCCAAAAGUACAUUUUUACACUCUUGACCUCGGAUCAGGUAGGGAUACCCGCUGAACUUAAGAAUAUCAAUAAGCGGAGGA
rnacentral:misc_RNA from 1 species